CCCUGUAUCGAAAGUGACUAUGGUGUCUGGUUGCCAAGUCAUUGAUACUACAGGAAGAGAAAGCCGAAAGUCUUUCCCGUGUUUGCAGGACAUUUUUAUUCCUGUUAAACCCUGAAUCUUUCACACA